CAGCCGCCACGGUAAUACGAGGGGGGCAAGCGUUGUUCGGAAUUAUUGGGCGUAAAGGGUGCGUAGGCGGCUUGACAAGUCUUGUGUGAAAUCUAUGGGCUCAACCCAUAGUCUGCACGGGAAACUGUCGGGCUUGAGAAUGGGAGAGGUGAGUGGAAUUUCCGGUGUAGCGGUGAAGUGCGUAGAUAUCGGAAGGAACACCUGUGGCGAAAGCGGCUCACUGGACCAUUACUGACGCUGAGGCGCGAAAGCUAGGGGAGCAAACAGGAUUAGAUACCCCAGUAGUCCCUGUCUCUUAUAC
rnacentral:rRNA from 1 species